UGAGUAGGGCGGGACACGUGGUAUCCUGUCUGAAUAUGGGGGGACCAUCCUCCAAGGCUAAAUACUCCUGACUGACCGAUAGUGAACCAGUACCGUGAGGGAAAGGCGAAAAGAACCCCGGCGAGGGGAGUGAAAAAGAACCUGAAACCGUGUACGUACAAGCAGUGGGAGCCUCUUAAUGGGGUGACUGCGUACCUUUUGUAUAAUGGGUCAGCGACUUAUAUUCUGUAGCAAGGUUAACCGAAUAGGGGAGCCGAAGGGAAACCGAGUCUUAACUGGGCGUUAAGUUGCAGGGUAUAGACCCGAAACCCGGUGAUCUAGCCAUGGGCAGGUUGAAGGUUGGGUAACACUAACUGGAGGACCGAACCGACUAAUGUUGAAAAAUUAGCGGAUGACUUGUGGCUGGGGGUGAAAGGCCAAUCAAACCGGGAGAUAGCUGGUUCUCCCCGAAAGCUAUUUAGGUAGCGCCUCGUGAAUUCAUCUCCGGGGGUAGAGCACUGUUUCGGCAAGGGGGUCAUCCCGACUUACCAACCCGAUGCAAACUGCGAAUACCGGAGAAUGUUAUCACGGGAGACACACGGCGGGUGCUAACGUCCGUCGUGAAGAGGGAAACAACCCAGACCGCCAGCUAAGGUCCCAAAGUCAUGGUUAAGUGGGAAACGAUGUGGGAAGGCCCAGACAGCCAGGAUGUUGGCUUAGAAGCAGCCAUCAUUUAAAGAAAGCGUAAUAGCUCACUGGUCGAGUCGGCCUGCGCGGAAGAUGUAACGGGGCUAAACCAUGCACCGAAGCUGCGGCAGCGACACUAUGUGUUGUUGGGUAGGGGAGCGUUCUGUAAGCCUGUGAAGGUGGCCUGUGAG
rnacentral:rRNA from 1 species